rnacentral:rRNA from 1 species
UACAGAGGGUGCAAGCGUUGUUCGGAAUUACUGGGCGUAAAGCGUGCGUAGUCGGUAUUGUGAGUCACGGGUGAAAUCCCAAGGCUUAACCUUGGAACUGCCUGUGAGACCUCAGUACUAGAGUGUGAGAGGGGAUAGUGGAAUGCCAAGUGUAGCGGUGAAAUGCGUAGAGAUUUGGCGGAACACCGGUGGCGAAGGCGGCUAUCUGGCUCACAACUGACGCUCAGGCACGAAAGCGUGGGGGGCAAACAGG